GAUCCUGGCUCAGGAUGAACGCUAGCGGCAGGCCUAACACAUGCAAGUCGAGGGGCAGCGGGGAAAAGCUUGCUUUUCCGCCGGCGACCGGCGCACGGGUGCGCAACGCGUAUACAAUCUGCCCCCUACUGCGGGAUAGCCCAGAGAAAUUUGGAUUAACACCGCAUGGUACCGUAUCCCCGCAUGGGGUUUACGGUUAAAGGUUACGGUAGGGGAUGAGUAUGCGUCCCAUUAGCUUGAUGGCGGGGUAACGGCCCACCAUGGCGACGAUGGGUAGGGGCCCUGAGAGGGGGAUCCCCCACACUGGUACUGAGACACGGACCAGACUCCUACGGGAGGCAGCAGUGAGGAAUAUUGGACAAUGGGCGGGAGCCUGAUCCAGCCAUGCCGCGUGCGGGAAGAAGGCCCUAUGGGUCGUAAACCGCUUUUAUACGGGAAGAAAC
rnacentral:rRNA from 1 species